ensembl:lncRNA
CACAUGAUGGUGCACUUAUCAGAACCUCAAGGGCAGGAAGGAAAUGGUGCAACAGCUUCAAGAGCUGAAAGAAAACCGCCGAUCCCGAUUCUAUAGCCGUGUCCACCUCUCGGCGACCCCAUGGACUGUAGUCCGCCGGGCUCCUCUGUCCAUGGGAUUUCCAGGCAAGAAUCCUGGAGUGGGUUACCAUUUCCUCCUCCAUUCCUUCAGAAAUGAAGGGAAGGGUGGAAGACACUCUCAGGAGACACAGGUUCAAUCCCUGGUCUGGGAAGAUCCCACGUGCCACGGAGCAACCGAGCCCGGGUGCCGCAACUACAGAGCCUGCGCCUGAGAGCCCGGGGAGCCACAGCUACUGAAGCGCGCGUGCCGGAGAGCCUGUGCUCUCAGCGAGAGAGGCCACCGCGGUGAGAAACCUGCGCACCAUAACUAGAGGGGAGCCCCCGCUCACCACAGCUACAGAGAAGCCCGUGCGGCAACGAAGACCCAGCACAACCAGAAAUAAACAAAGAAUUAAAAAAAAAAAAGGUAUGGAACACUCAGGACAAUCAGACACACUCAGAGAAGCCACACCCUCACAGUAAGGCCAAAUGAACUCUAGAAUAUCCCCAGAGGUUGUUUUUAAGCCUUGAAAGGAUAAGCUGAACUAGUCAUUUUAUCAACCUCCAAAACAUAGUUAGUUUCACUUUAAAGACAGGAAGCAGAAUCUGUAUACUCAACAGCAUAACUUCGGGGACUUCCCUGGCAGUCCAAGGGUUAGGACUCUGUCCUUUCACAGCCAAGGGCGUGAGUUCACUCCCUGCUCGGGAACAAAGUUCCUGCAAGCUGACUGGCUCGAACGAAAAAACGAAAAACGACGUAACUGUCCUAUCACAGAGCGCAUAGGCAGUCAAAAGCAACGCUGCAGUC